GCAAUGGACGAAAGUCUGACCGAGCAACGCCGCGUGAGUGAAGAAGGUUUUCGGAUCGUAAAGCUCUGUUGUAAGUCAAGAACGUGUGUGAGAGUGGAAAGUUCACACAGUGACGGUAGCUUACCAGAAAGGGACGGCUAACUACGUGCCAGCAGCCGCGGUAAUACGUAGGUCCCGAGCGUUGUCCGGAUUUAUUGGGCGUAAAGGGAGCGCAGGCGGUCAGGAAAGUCUGGAGUAAAAGGCUAUGGCUCAACCAUAGUGUGCUCUGGAAACUGUCUGACUUGAGUGCAGAAGGGGAGAGUGGAAUUCCAUGUGUAGCGGUGAAAUGCGUAGAUAUAUGGAGGAACACCAGUGGCGAAAGCGGCUCUCUGGUCUGUCACUGACGCUGAGGCUCGAAAGCGUGGGUAGCGAACAGGAUUAGAUACCCUGGUAGUCCACGCCGUAAACGAUGAGUGCUAGGUGUUAGGCCCUUUCCGGGGCUUAGUGCCGGAGCUAACGCAAUAAGCACUCCGCCUGGGGGUACGACCGCAAGGUUGAAACUCAAAGGAAUUGACGGGGGCCCGCACAAGCGGUGGAGCAUGUGGUUUAAUUCGAAGCAACGCGAAGAACCUUACCAGGU
rnacentral:rRNA from 1 species